GACGAACGCUGGCGGCGUGCUUAACACAUGCAAGUCGAACGGAAAGGCCAUGCUUUUGUGGGGUGCUCGAGUGGCGAACGGGUGAGUAACACGUGAGUAACCUGCCCUUGACUUUGGGAUAAAUUCAGGAAACUGGGGCUAAUACCGGAUAGGAGCUCCUGAUGCAUGGUGGGGGUUGGAAAGUUUCGGCGGUUGGGGAUGGACUCGCGGCUUAUCAGCUUGUUGGUGGGGUAGUGGUUUACCAAGGCUUUGACGGGUAGCCGGCCUGAGAGGGUGACCGGCCACAUUGGGACUGAGAUACGGACCAGACGCCUACGGGAGGCAGCAGUGGGGAAUAUUGCGCAAUGGGCGGAAGCCUGAUGCAGCAACGCCGCGUGCGGGAUGACGGCUUUCGGGUUGUAAACCGCUUUCGCCUGUGACGAAGAGUGAGUGACGGUAAUGGGUAAAGAAGCACCGGCUAACUACGUG
rnacentral:rRNA from 1 species